AGUGAACGCUGGCGGCAGGCCUAAUACAUGCAAGUCGAACGGACGCACAGUAAGCGCUCGCCCUUACGGGUGGCGAGUGGCGGAUGGGUGACACAUACAUCGCAUACCAAUUUUUCUUGGGGAACUUCGUAGAGACACUUACGAUACCACCGCAUAUGACCAACGGCAUAAUGCAAGAGAUCUUGGCACCUUUCCUGUCUCAUAUAGCCGAUGUCGCAUUAGCUAGUUGGCGUGGUAAAGGCCCACCAAGGCAACGAUCCGUAGCUGGUCUGAGAGGGUGAUCGGCCACACUGGAACUGAGACACGGUCCAGACUCCUACGGGAGGCAGCAGUAGGGAAUAUUGGACAAUGGGCGAAAGCCUGAUCGAGCCAUACCGCGUGGGUGAAGAAGGCCUUCGGGUUGUAAAGCUCUGUUGUUGGGGAAGAAAAACUGUAGAUGUAUACCCGGCUGUUCUGACGGUACCCAAAGAGAAAGCACCGGCUAACUACGUG
rnacentral:rRNA from 1 species